ACGCGGCGCGGGGUGCUGACGCCCGCGCGGCCCGAGGACGGGGCGGGGCCGGGGCGGGUCCCCGCGCUCCUCCGCCCCUCUGAGUCCCGACUCGCCCUCCCCCACACCGGGCCCCGUCAGCUCGGAGGUGUCUUCGUAGCUUGGCCUCGCGGUGGCCCGGCCCGGCCCGCGGGCAGAUGCCCCGAGCUGCCGGCGGCGGUGCGGGAGGCGGGCGUCCGGCCCCGGGCCGCUGAGUGGGACGGACGGGGCUGGGGGCCGCCGGGCGCCGCGGCGUCGGCGGCUCCGCGCGGACCAUGUAUUUCCUGAGCGGCUGGCCCAAGAGGCUGCUCUGCCCGGUGGGAAGCCCGGCCGAGGCGCCCGUCCACGUUCAGUCCGACCCGCAGAGGACUUUCCUCGCAGUGCUGGCCGCGGCCCGCCUCAGCAUCUGGUACAGCCGACCUAGUGUGUUAAUCGUAACCUACAAGGAACCUGCAAAAUCAUCUUCUCAGUUUGGAUCCUACAAGCAAGCUGAAUGGAGGCCAGAUAGUACAAUGAUAGCUGUGUCAACGGCAAAUGGCUACAUCUUGUUUUUUCACAUUACAUCUACAAGAGGGGACAAGUACCUUUAUGAACCAGUGUAUCCCAAAGGAAGCCCACAAAUGAAGGGGACACCCCAUUUUAAGGAAGAACAGUGUGCUCCCGCAUUAACUUUAGAGAUGAGGAAAGUAUUGGAUUUGCAAGCACCCAUUACAAGUUUGCAGUCUGUGCUGGAAGAUCUCCUGGUUGCUACUUCUGAUGGACAGCUUCAUCUUAUUCACUGGGAAGGAAUGACAAAUGGAAAGAAAGCUAUUAAUCUUUCCACAGUACCCUUUUCACUAGAUCUACAAUCAUCUAGAGCAGGUUCAUUCCUGGGCUUUGCAGAUGUGCACAUCAGAGACAUGGAAUACUGUGCCACACUUGAUGGGUUUGCUGUGGUGUUUAAUGAUGGUAAAGUGGGAUUUAUUACACCAGUGUCCAGUAGAUUUACUGCAGAGCAGCUUCAUGGAGUUUGGCCACAAGAUGUUGUUGAUGGAACUUGUGUAGCAGUAAAUAACAAGUAUCGACUAAUGGCAUUUGGUUGUGCAAGUGGUUCUGUACAGGUUUAUACAAUAGAUAACACCACUGGAGCUAUGCUGCUGUCUCAUAAACUAGAGUUAACAGCAAAACAGUAUCCUGAUAUUUGGAACAAAACAGGAGCAGUUAAAUUGGUCAGGUGGUCUCCUGACAAUAGUGUUGUAAUGGUGACCUGGGAAUGCGGAGGCUUUUCUUUAUGGAGUGUGUUUGGAGCUCAGCUGAUUUGUACACUUGGAGGAGAUUUUGCUUAUAGGUCUGAUGGUACCAAAAAAGAUCCCCUUAAGAUCAAUUCUAUGAGCUGGGGUGCAGAAGGCUAUCACCUAUGGGUAAUCAGCGGAUUUGGUUCUCAAAAUACUGAAAUUGAGUCUGAGCCCAAGAGUAUAGUUAAACAGCCUGGCAUUCUGCUGUUUCAGUUUAUCAAGAGUGCUCUCACCGUAAACCCUUGUAUGAGUAACCAAGAGCAGGUGUUGCUUCAGGGGGAAGAUCGAUUGUACUUGAACUGUGGAGAGGCCUCACAAACCCAGAACCCCAGGAGUUCUUCAGUUCACUAUAAGCCCAGCUCGUUGGCAGAGGGCGGUUUUGAGUCUCAGGGUUUAAGCACUUUACUCGGACAUCGACAUUGGCAUGUGGUCCAAAUUUCCAGCACCUAUCUAGAGAGCAAUUGGCCUAUACGGUUUUCAGCGAUUGAUAAGCUUGGACAGAAUAUUGCUGUGGUUGGCAAAUUUGGUUUUGCACAUUACUCUUUACUCACCAAAAAAUGGAAACUUUUUGGAAACAUUACCCAGGAGCAAAAUAUGAUUGUGACAGGUGGCUUAGCCUGGUGGAAUGAUUUUAUUGUCCUUGCAUGUUAUAACAUAAGUGACCGUCAAGAAGAGCUGAGAGUUUACUUGCGAACAUCGAAUCUGGACAAUGCCUUUGCUCACGUCACCAAAGCACAAGCAGAGACCUUACUGCUUAGUGUCUUCCGGGACAUGGUGGUAGUGUUUAGAGCUGACUGCUCAAUAUGCCUUUACAGUAUUGAGAGGAAGUCUGAGGGUCCAAAUACUACUGCUGGUAUCCAAGUUCUUCAGGAAGUCUCCAUGUCACGCUACAUUCCUCACCCUUUCCUGGUAGUAUCUGUCACUCUGACAUCAGUGAGUACAGAGAAUGGAAUCACCUUGAAAAUGCCACAGCAGGCUCGUGAUGCAGAGAGCAUUAUGCUGAAUCUUGCAGGGCAGCUCAUCAUGAUGCAGAGGGACCGGUCAGGCCCACAGAUCCGGGAGAAGGACAGUAACCCGAACCAGAGGAAAUUGCUGCCAUUCUGUCCUCCUGUUGUACUAGCUCAGUCUGUUGAAAAUGUAUGGACUACGUGUCGAGCAAAUAAACAAAAGCGGCACCUUCUGGAGGCCCUCUGGCUGAGCUGUGGAGGAGCAGGGAUGAAAGUUUGGCUCCCUCUCUUCCCCAGGGACCACCGCAAGCCCCAUUCCUUCUUGUCCCAGCGGAUCAUGCUGCCUUUCCACAUCAACAUUUACCCGCUGGCGGUUCUGUUUGAAGAUGCGUUAGUCCUCGGUGCUGUCAAUGACACUGUGCUCUACGACUCUCUGUACACUCGGAGCAGUGCUAGGGAGCAGCUGGAGGUGCUCUUCCCCUUCUGUGUCGUGGAGAGAACCUCGCAGAUCUACCUCCACCACAUCCUCCGUCAGCUGCUGGUCAGGAACCUCGGGGAGCAGGCCUUGCUCUUGGCCCAGUCCUGCUCCACGUUACCCUACUUCCCUCACGUGCUGGAGCUCAUGCUCCACGAAGUGCUGGAAGAGGAAGCUACCUCACGGGAGCCCAUUCCCGACCCUCUGCUUCCCACGGUGGCGAAGUUUAUCACCGAGUUCCCCCUCUUCCUGCAGACCGUUGUGCAUUGUGCCAGGAAGACUGAGUAUGCCCUGUGGAACUACCUUUUUGCAGCCGUCGGAAACCCCAAGGACUUGUUUGAGGAAUGUUUGAUGGCUCAGGAUUUGGACACAGCUGCCUCUUACCUUAUUAUCUUACAGAAUAUGGAAGUCCCAGCAGUAAGCAGGCAACAUGCCACACUUCUGUUCAACACAGCCCUGGAGCAAGGCAAGUGGGACUUAUGUCGGCACAUGAUUCGAUUUCUUAAAGCCAUUGGCUCUGGAGAAUCUGAGACACCUCCAUCCACACCGACAGCUCAGGAACCCAGUUCAAGCGGAGGAUUUGAGUUCUUCAGGAAUCGCAGCAUCAGUUUGUCCCAGUCCGCUGACAACGUACCUGCUAGUAAAUUCAGCUUACAGAAAACACUAAGUAUGCCAUCUGGGCCUUCGGGAAAAAGAUGGAGUAAAGACAGCGACUGUGCAGAAAACAUGUAUAUUGACAUGAUGCUCUGGAGACAUGCUCGGCGUCUCUUGGAAGAAGUUCGGCUCAAGGACCUGGGUUGCUUUGCAGCCCAGUUGGGCUUUGAACUCAUUAGUUGGCUCUGCAAGGAGCGUGCCCGAGCUGCCCGGGUGGACAACUUUGUGAUAGCCCUGAAGAGACUCCAUAAAGAUUUCCUGUGGCCACUUCCCAUCAUCCCAGCCUCUUCCCUCAGUUCUCCUUUCAAGAAUGGCAAACUCCGAACAGUGGGAGAGCAGCUGUUAAAGUCUCAAUCAGCUGACCGUUUCUUAAACCUUGAGAUAGAUGCUGGCCUCUCUAAUGUCCAACGAAGUCAGAGCUGGCUCAGCAACAUUGGCCCUACUCACCAUGAGAUAGACACAGCCUCAUCCCAGGGACCACAAAUGCAAGAGGCCUUCCUGUCACCUUUAUCUAACAAAGGUGAUGAAUGCAGUAUUGGUUCAGCCACAGACUUGACUGAAAGUAGCUCCAUGGUGGAUGGGGACUGGACAGUGGUGGAUGAAAACUUCUCCACACUCAGUUUAACUCAGUCAGAGCUGGAGCACAUCUCCAUGGAGUUAGCCAGUAAAGGGCCUCACAAAUCCCAGGUCCAGCUGCGGUAUUUGCUACACAUCUUCAUGGAGGCAGGAUGUCUGGACUGGUGCAUUGUCAUAGGCUUGAUUCUUAGAGAAUCCUCAAUAAUCAACCAGAUUUUGGUGAUUAUACAGACGACAGAGGUAGAUGGAGAGAUGUUACAGAACAUAAAGACAGGGCUACAUGCGGUGGACCGAUGGGCCUCUGCAGACUGUCCUGGAUAUAAGCCAUUUUUGAACAUCAUUAAGCCACAAUUACAGAAGCUCAGUGAGAUAACAGAAGAGCAGGUCCAUCCUGAAGCCUUCCAGCCAAUAACUGUGGGUAAGACUCCUGAACAGACUAGUCCCCGGGCAGAGGAGAGCAGGGGCUCCUCGGGCCAUGGAAGCAUCCCCCAGGGCGAGGUCGGAGGUAGCGGUAUGGUCAGCCGGAAAGAGGAGAACACAGCCCGCACAGAGGAGGAGGAAACUUUUCAGGACGGGACUUACGACUGUUGUGUGUCCUAACAACAGUGAGGUGCCGUCACCACGGCAGUAUUAAUUAGCAGCAGCGUGCGUGCAACUGAGGACACUGUGACCUCGUUGGAUGAUUUAACCAGGGAGCUCAGCUCAGAGACUCUGGUAGAACUGUUUCCCAGGUGAGUACAUCAUGAGCUCAGCAAGAAACUGAACUGAAAUUUCUUCUGCCCUAGUCCACUAGGAGAAGACCUAGCAUUACUUUUGUGUUUGGUGUGAAUAUUCCGUCAAUAAAAAUGAUUUACCAUUUAAACAGCUGUCAUCUUUUCAAAUAUCCUAAUGUGCUGCUGGGUUCAUCUUGCACUGUCCCAAGCAGGCGUCAAUAAGAGCUGUAUUCCUAGGGUUAAUGCCAUAAAUGAAUCCUCUAGAAAAUACCGGUACUUGUUUUUCAACUAAUAGGAAUGGGUGGCCCCCAGGGCAAAAGAGACAAAUUUAUAGGAAAUUUUCUCUGAUAAUUUGUUAAUAUAAUUUAAUAUUUAAAAACUCAAUCUUAUUUUGCCUUGUUUGGUUCACACAUCAACUGUUUAAGCCAUAUUUUUAACCAGUGGAUUUAAAUAUUCAGUAUAACAGGUUUAAAUUAUUUGCUAAUACCAAAACAAGAAGUCAUUUGGGGAUAGAGUCAACCUUUGCUUG